CGCCCCUGGCAAUGGGCAAGGAGACAUCUCGCUUGUGAUGUUGCUCUUACAUCAGCCAGGGGCAGAGCAGAGGCAGCCCUUUGUUCAUCCUAGCUUGAUGCCUGUUGGUGGCCAGAGCUGUUUCAUCCUAGGGCACAGAA
ensembl:snoRNA